UAACACAUGCAAGUCGAGGGGUAGAGGAAGCUUGCUUCCUUGAGACCGGCGCACGGGUGCGUAACGCGUAUACAAUCUACCUUUUACAGAGGGAUAGCCCAGAGAAAUUUGGAUUAAUACCUCAUAGUAUUUUCGAAUCGCAUGGUUUGAUUAUUAAAGUUCCAACGGUAAAAGAUGAGUAUGCGUCCCAUUAGCUAGAUGGUAAGGUAACGGCUUACCAUGGCAAUGAUGGGUAGGGGUCCUGAGAGGGAGAUCCCCCACACUGGUACUGAGACACGGACCAGACUCCUACGGGAGGCAGCAGUGAGGAAUAUUGGACAAUGGGCGCAAGCCUGAUCCAGCCAUGCCGCGUGCAGGAAGACGGUCCUAUGGAUUGU
rnacentral:rRNA from 1 species